rnacentral:ncRNA from 1 species
AUAAAUCCUUUGACGAAGAAAGUAGCCAUAAGUUAAUUGCAAAGCGAGCUAGAGUAGGUGUGAGUCUAGCCAAUGCUUAUGUGUGAAACGCCCUUCUAUGGAGAUUAUCACAAAUAUACCUCGUAUAGAGUAUGAUAAUCGGGUACUCCCCUUAAUGAGCAGAGCGGAUGCAAGUUUUUGUAUCAAUUAGAGUGGUAACGCGGUCAGUAGGUCGUCUCUUAU